rnacentral:rRNA from 1 species
UACGUAGGGAGCAAGCGUUGUCCGGAAUCAUUGGGCGUAAAGCGCGCGUAGGCGACCCGAUAAGUCCGCUGUGAAAGUCAACGGCUCAACUGUUGGAUGCCGGUGGAUACUGUCGGGCUAGAGUACGGAAGAGGCAAGUGGAAUUCCUGGUGUAGCGGUGAAAUGCGCAGAUAUCAGGAAGAACACCUAUGGCGAAGGCAGCUCUCUGGGACGGUACUGACGCUGAGACGCGAAAGCGUGGGGAGCGAACAGG